rnacentral:rRNA from 1 species
CCUACGGGAGGCAGCAGUAGGGAAUCUUCCACAAUGGACGAAAGUCUGAUGGAGCAACGCCGCGUGUGUGAUGAAGGGUUUCGGCUCGGAAAACACUGUUGUAAGAGAAGAAUGACAUUGAGAGUAACUGUUCAGUGUGUGACGGUAUCUUACCAGACAGGAACGGCUAAAUACGUGCCAGACGCCGCGGUAAUACGUAUGCUCAAUGCGCUAUCCGGAUUGAUUGGGCGUAAAGCGAGCGCAGACGGUUAUGUAAGUCCGAAGUGAAAGCCCACAGCUUAACUGGGGAAAUGCUGUUGAAACUGGCUAACUUGAGUGCAGUAGAGGAGAGUGGAACUUGAUAUGUAGCGGUGAAAUGCGUAGAUAUAUGGAAGAACACCAGUGGCGAAGGCGGCUCUCUGGGCUGUAACUGACGUUGAGGCACGAAAGUGUGGGUAGCAAACAGGAUUAGAUACCCUAGUAGUC